GAUGAACGCUGGCGGCGUGCCUAAUACAUGCAAGUCGAGCGAACGGACGAGAAGCUUGCUUCUCUGAUGUUAGCGGCGGACGGGUGAGUAACACGUGGAUAACCUACCUACAAGACUGGGAUAACUUCGGGAAACCGGAGCUAAUACCGGAUAAUAUUUUGAACCGCAUGGUUCAAAAGUGAAAGACGGUCUUGCUGUCACUUAUAGAUGGAUCCGCGCUGCAUUAGCUAGUUGGUAAGGUAACGGCUUACCAAGGCAACGAUGCAUAGCCGACCUGAGAGGGUGAUCGGCCACACUGGAACUUAGACACGGUCCAGACUCCUACGGGAGGCAGCAGUAGGGAAUCUUCCGCAAUGGGCGAAAGCCUGACGGAGCAACGCCGCGUGAGUGAUGAAGGUCUUCGGAUCGUAAAACUCUGUUAUUAGGGAAGAACAUAUGUGUAAGUAACUGUGCACAUCUUGACGGUACCUAAUCAGAAAGCCACGGCUAACUACGUG
rnacentral:rRNA from 1 species